rnacentral:rRNA from 1 species
UGGGGAAUUUUCGGCAAUGGGCGCAAGCCUGACCGAGCAACGCCGCGUGCGGGAUGACGGCCUUCGGGUUGUAAACCGCUUUUGGGGGGACGGACUUCGACUGUACCCCCCGAAUAAGCCUCGGCUAACUCUGUGCCAGCAGCCGCGGUAAGACAGAGGAGGCAAGCGUUGUCCGGGCUUACUGGGCGUAAAGCGUCCGCAGGUGGCACGUCAAGUGGGGUGUGAAAGCCGGUGGGCUUAACCGCCGGAGGCCAUCCCAAACUGGCGCGCUGGAGCCGGGCAGAGGGUGACGGAAUUGCCGGUGUAGUGGUGAAAUGCGUAGAGAUCGGCAGGAAGACCAAGGGGGAAGCCAGUCACCUGGGCCCGUGCUGACACUCAUGGACGACCGCGUGGGGAGCGAACCGGAUUAGAUACCCGGGUAGUCCACGCCGUAAACGAUGUACGCUCGGCGUUUGGUGGUGCAUCCGCACUGCUGGGCGCCUCAGCUAACGCAUAAGCGUACCGCCUGGGAACUACGAGCGCAAGCUUAAAAC